rnacentral:rRNA from 1 species
GAUCAUGGCUCAGGAUGAACGCUAGCUACAGGCUUAACACAUGCAAGUCGAGGGGAAACGACAUCGAAAGCUUGCUUUUGAUGGGCGUCGACCGGCGCACGGGUGAGUAACGCGUAUCCAACCUUCCCGUUACUCUGGAAUAGCCUUUCGAAAGAAAGAUUAAUACCGGACAGUAUCGAGAGAUUGCAUGAUUACCCGAUUAAAGAUUCAUCGGUAACGGAUGGGGAUGCGUUCCAUUAGGCAG